UUGUACAUUCCUACAACAUUAAUGAACUAGAUCCCAUUAGAAAUCCGUAGUUAAGCGUGCUUGGAAUAGAGUAGUACUAGGAUGGGUUACCUCUCGAGAAGUCCUAGUGUUUUACAUU
rfam:Picea glauca, whole genome shotgun sequence.